UCAUUAUAUUCCUUGUCCAACAUGUUUACCUGGUAAAACACACCGCUAGUUGACACUAUCUAUACUGACUGAUGCUGUUGGAUGGUGAUUUCUAGUUUAGUUUUUCUAAUUACAACAAUAUAUUUUCCUUAGUGGAAAUGCUUUGAGUAACUUCUUUUCAUUUUCAUAUAUUCAGACUAAAUAGGUAAGCUCGUCUUUUGCAUGCAGGAAACUGAAACGACAAAUGUUGGAUUGCAAGGAUGCUUAAUCAUCUGAUUUAAUGAGCCUGAUGGUCUUGACAACCAAAAUGCUGUCAACUUUGAUUACUGAGCAAUUUACAAACGAAUGUCAAAACUCUUUUUUUGUCUUUUUCCUGGUUCAGACAAUUAGUUUUUCUUAACUCCUUUUACUAAUUCUUUUUUUUACUAGUCAAGCUUCUUUUUUUUUUAUAGUUUAUUUAAAACCCCAACGUUGCUACUCUGGUAUUGCCGUGGGUUGAAUAAAAUUGUCCGUCUCAUGAAACGCUAAGACAAGCCAUGUUUUUUAUAGUCAUUAUGAAUUAAUAAUAAUAAAAAGAAAUAUAAAAAGAUGAAAACAUUUUAAAACGAUAUAUGUUUUUCCCUUGGCGUAGACACG